CUUCAGAAUACUAUAAAUUUUAUAUACAGUAUACAGUACAUAUAGAGCAGGAGUGGCGAACUCCGGUCCAGGAGAGCCGCAGCCCUGCAGAAUUCAGCUCCAACCCUAAUUAAAAUUCACCUGCCUGUAGCUUUCUAGUAACCCUUCAGACCUUGAUUAGCUUGUUCAGGUGUGUUUGAUUAGGGUCAAAGCAAACCUCUCCAUGGCUGCGGCUCUCCAGGACUGACGUUCGCCACCCGACUGACGUAUAGAGAGAGAAUUUUGUUUAUCCCAGAGGAUACGUACAAACAAUUUUGCAAUUUAAUCUUUUUUUUUUUUCAAUUUAAAUUAAAGGUUUAAAGGUUUUUUCCACUCAAAACAAAAAAUAUUACUAUACAAGUUAAGUGAAAUAUUUUCUUUGGUUCACGUAAUUCUUUUCUUGACCUUCCUCUUUUCUUCCUUCUUCCUUUAUGACAAAACAGCCUGAAGAUAUGUGACAUUUUUCCUUUUACCCUUGCAGACAUCACAGAGGAGACAGAUGUGAUGGCUGUUUCAGAAGAUCAAGAGAGUGAGAAGCCCAAAACACUGCUCCACAAGCUCCAAAGCUCAACGGGGAGCCCCUCAUAUGUCUACAUGAAAAACCAAGCUCUGUCUGUGAUCCCAUCCCUCAACUACAGUACUGUGCAUGUGAAACAAAGAACAGCUGCUCCUCUUCACAUCAUGCUUUGAAUGUAUGCACCAUUCCUCGGACAAAACCUCAGGAAGACGUCUGUCCCACAGGAACCAGGCUGACCACUGCCACCGGCACUUGACGAGCUUGUCAGCCACAUGAAGCAGGCCAGCCUCUUUUCUUAUCAUCAGGAAGUUGUCAGGUGGGAGAUAUUUCUGUUUGUUUGUUUUGCAAAUGUCUUUGUUUCCGUUACUGCAAACAAUUAGGUGACAUCCUAUGACAGAACAAGCACAAGUCUGGCUGCAGCUGGACAUGCUGCAUGGAGCUCAGUAAUGGACUCAUCAAUCAACACAGUCUUUUAAAACAGUGACAACAUGGCCGAGGCUGAGGUGACCCUGCUCAAGGUUGACAUUUUGGACACAAACAAGAAGCUGAGAUGCUUCAAUACUUCA
ensembl:lncRNA